GAGUGAGAUUACUGAGUUGAAAACUCCAACCCCUGUGAAAUAACCUCUGUCGUUGCUUCGGCGGGCACGCCCGCCGGAGGUUCAAACUCUUAUUUUUUUCAGUAUCUCUGAGCCUAAAAGACAAAUAAUCAAAACUUUCAACAACGGAUCUCUUGGUUCUGGCAUCGAUGAAGAACGCAGCGAAAUGCGAUAAGUAAUGUGAAUUGCAGAAUUCAGUGAAUCAUCGAAUCUUUGAACGCACAUUGCGCCCGCCGGUAUUCCGGCGGGCAUGCCUGUUCGAGCGUCAUUUCAACCCUCAAGCCUCGGCUUGGUGUUGGGGCGCCCGGGCCCUCCGCGGCCCGGGGCCCCCAAGUUCAUCGGCGGGCUCGUCGGUACACUGAGCGCAGUAAAACGCGGUAAAACGCGAACCUCGUUCGGAUCGUCCCGGCGUGCUCCAGCCGCUAAACCCCCAAUUCUUUAAAGGUUGACCUCGGAUCAGGUAGGAAUACCCGCUGAACUUAAGCAUAUCAAUAGCCCGGAGGAA
rnacentral:rRNA from 1 species